rnacentral:rRNA from 2 species
AGUCGACGCGUUGGCCCAUUGAUUGAUGGUGCUUGCACCUGAUUGAUUUUGGUCGCCAACGAGUGGCGGACGGGUGAGUAACACGUAGGUAACCUGCCCAGAAGCGGGGGACAACAUUUGGAAACAGAUGCUAAUACCGCAUAACAGCGUUGUUCGCAUGAACAACGCUUAAAAGAUGGCUUCUCGCUAUCACUUCUGGAUGGACCUGCGGUGCAUUAGCUUGUUGGUGGGGUAACGGCCUACCAAGGCGAUGAUGCAUAGCCGAGUUGAGAGACUGAUCGGCCACAAUGGGACUGAGACACGGCCCAUACUCCUACGGGAGGCAGCAGUAGGGAAUCUUCCACAAUGGGCGCAAGCCUGAUGGAGCAACACCGCGUGAGUGAAGAAGGGUUUCGGCUCGUAAAGCUCUGUUGUUAAAGAAGAACACGUAUGAGAGUAACUGUUCAUACGUUGACGGUAUUUAACCAGAAAGUCACGGCUAACUACGUGCCAGCAGCCGCGGUAAUACGUAGGUGGCAAGCGUUAUCCGGAUUUAUUGGGCGUAAAGAGAGUGCAGGCGGUUUUCUAAGUCUGAUGUGAAAGCCUUCGGCUUAACCGGAGAAGUGCAUCGGAAACUGGAUAACUUGAGUGCAGAAGAGGGUAGUGGAACUCCAUGUGUAGCGGUGGAAUGCGUAGAUAUAUGGAAGAACACCAGUGGCGAAGGCGGCUACCUGGUCUGCAACUGACGCUGAGACUCGAAAGCAUGGGUAGCGAACAGGAUUAGAUACCCUGGUAGUCCAUGCCGUAAACGAUGAGUGCUAGGUGUUGGAGGGUUUCCGCCCUUCAGUGCCGGAGCUAACGCAUUAAGCACUCCGCCUGGGGAGUACGACCGCAAGGUUGAAACUCAAAGGAAUUGACGGGGGCCCGCACAAGCGGUGGAGCAUGUGGUUUAAUUCGAAGCUACGCGAAGAACCUUACCAGGUCUUGACAUCUUGCGCCAACCCUAGAGAUAGGGCGUUUCCUUCGGGAACGCAAUGACAGGUGGUGCAUGGUCGUCGUCAGCUCGUGUCGUGAGAUGUUGGGUUAAGUCCCGCAACGAGCGCAACCCUUGUUACUAGUUGCCAGCAUUAAGUUGGGCACUCUAGUGAGACUGCCGGUGACAAACCGGAGGAAGGUGGGGACGACGUCAGAUCAUCAUGCCCCUUAUGACCUGGGCUACACACGUGCUACAAUGGACGGUACAACGAGUCGCGAACUCGCGAGGGCAAGCAAAUCUCUUAAAACCGUUCUCAGUUCGGACUGCAGGCUGCAACUCGCCUGCACGAAGUCGGAAUCGCUAGUAAUCGCGGAUCAGCAUGCCGCGGUGAAUACGUUCCCGGGCCUUGUACACACCGCCCGUCACACCAUGAGAGUUUGUAACACCCAAAGUCGGUGG